rnacentral:lncRNA from 1 species
AGACCUAGAAGACGAUGAGACCCCCACACAGUCAGACCGGCUCUCCAUGCUCUCCCAGGAGAUUCAGACUCUCAAGAGCUCUAGCAUGAGCAGCUGUGAAGAGCGAGUGAAAAGGCUGUCAGUGUCUGAGCUAAACGAACUGCUGGAAGAAAUUGAGACGGCCAUUAAGGAGUACUCUGAGGAGCUAGUGCAGCAGUUGGCCCUGAGAGAUGAGCUGGAGUUUGAGAAGGAAGUGGAGAACAGCUUUAUUUCUGCUCUGAUUGAAGUGCAGAACAAGCAGAAAGAACACAAGGAGACAGCCAAGAAGAAGAAGAAGCUCAAAAAUGGCAGCUCUCAGAAUGGGAGGAAUGAGAGAAGUCACAUGCCAGGCACAUUCUGUGUCCGACAUAGAGCAGCGGUAUGGUGGGAGCCGCUUCCCCUUCUGUGGACUCCAGGCUUCAUGACCUAUGCUGUUACUCUGGAACAUGCUGUCACGACUCCCGGCUUUUGGAGACCCAGCACACUUGAACUUGGAUUUGCAAUUCAGUAUUAAUAGAUCAUCCACUAAUCCAUCACGUUAUAGCACUACGAGAGCUUCAGCACUCUGGAAUUCUAGAGAUAGGAUUUGGUAUACAUAACCAUUAUGAACUGGUUUCUAAGUUAACAGUCAAGGAGAGGGAGGGAUAUGGACUGUGCAUGCUGUUGUUUUUGACAGUGUGGCUGUUAGGUUUUGAGUUCCUCCAUCUGAACUGACUGAAGAACUAGGUUAAAGCACGGGGCGAGCCAACUGUAGCUGU